CCCCAUAUUGGUGGUCCUUGGCACCUGUUGUACUUUAUACAAUAUAUGACACCUUUCAUUCAUUUAUUUCAAAAAGAACUAGAACAGAUUGAAGCAUGGCCAAGUAGAGAAACAAGAAUGGGGCUGAACCCCAACCUCUUGUAUCAACAUAAGAGAUAUUACCAAGUCAAACCCUCACUUUGGUACAAAACCAUUAGACUAAUUAUUAAACUA
rnacentral:lncRNA from 1 species